rnacentral:rRNA from 1 species
AAUGGGCGCAAGCCUGAUCCAGCCAUGCCGCGUGAGUGAUGAAGGCCCUAGGGUCGUAAAGCUCUUUCGCCAGGGAUGAUAAUGACAGUACCUGGUAAAGAAACCCCGGCUAACUCCGUGCCAGCAGCCGCGGUAAUACGGAGGGGGUUAGCGUUGUUCGGAAUUACUGGGCGUAAAGCGCGCGUAGGCGGAUUAGUCAGUUAGAGGUGAAAUCCCGGGGCUCAAUCCCGGAACUGCCUUUAAUACUGCUAGUCUUGAGUUCGAGAGAGGUGAGUGGAAUUCCGAGUGUAGAGGUGAAAUUCGUAGAUAUUCGGAGGAACACCAGUGGCGAAGGCGGCUCACUGGCUCGAUACUGACGCUGAGGUGCGAAAGUGUGGGGAGCAAACAGGAUU